AGGUUAAGUUAAUAAGGGCGCACGGUGGAUGCCUUGGCACUAGGAGCCGAAGAAGGACGUGACAAACGACGAUAUGCCUUGGGUAGCUGUAAGUAAGCGAUGAUCCAGGGAUUUCCGAAUGGGGGAACCCAACAGGUACUACCUGUUACCCAUAUCUGUUAAGGAUGUGAGGAGGAAGACGCAGUGAACUGAAACAUCUAAGUAGCUGCAGGAAGAGAAAGCAAAAGCGAUUGCCUUAGUAGCGGCGAGCGAAACGGCAGGAGGGCAAACCGAAGAGUUUACUCUUCGGGGUUGUAGGACUGCAAAGUGGACUCAAAGAUUAUAGAAGAAUGAUUUGGGAAGAUCAGCCAAAGAGAGUAAUAGCCUCGUAUUUAAAAUAGUCUUUGUACCUAGCAGUAUCCUGAGUACGGCGGGACACGAGAAAUCCCGUCGGAAUCUGGGAGGACCAUCUCCCAACCCUAAAUACUCCCUAGUGACCGAUAGUGAACCAGUACCGUGAGGGAAAGGUGAAAAGCACCCCGGGAGGGGAGUGAAAUAGAACCUGAAACCGUGUGCCUACAACAAGUUCGAGCCCGUUAAUGGGUGAGAGCGUGCCUUUUGUAGAAUGAACCGGCGAGUUACGAUAUGAUGCGAGGUUAAGUUGAAGAGACGGAGCCGCAGGGAAACCGAGUCUGAAUAGGGCGCAUUAGUAUCAUGUCGUAGACCCGAAACCAUGUGACCUACCCAUGAGCAGGUUGAAGGUGCGGUAAGACGCACUGGAGGACCGAACCAGGGCACGUUGAAAAGUGCUUGGAUGACUUGUGGGUAGCGGAGAAAUUCCAAACGAACUUGGAGAUAGCUGGUUCUCUCCGAAAUAGCUUUAGGGCUAGCGUCGACAUUAGAGAUUCUUGGAGGUAGAGCACUGUUUGGGUGAGGGGUCCAUCCCGGAUUACCAAUCUCAGAUAAACUCCGAAUGCCAAAGAAUUAUGGUCGGCAGUCAGACUGCGAGUGCUAAGAUCCGUAGUCGAAAGGGAAACAGCCCAGACCACCAGCUAAGGUCCCAAAAUAAUUGUUAAGUGGAAAAGGAUGUGGGGUUGCACAGACAACUAGGAUGUUAGCUUAGAAGCAGCUAUUCAUUCAAAGAGUGCGUAAUAGCUCACUAGUCGAGUGACCCUGCGCCGAAAAUGUACCGGGGCUAAAACAAUUUACCGAAGCUGUGGAUACCUUUAUAGGUAUGGUAGGAGAGCGUUCUAUGUGUGGAGAAGGUGUACCGUGAGGAGCGCUGGAACGCAUAGAAGUGAGAAUGCCGGUAUGAGUAGCGAAAGACAGGUGAGAAUCCUGUCCACCGUAAGACUAAGGUUUCCAGGGGAAGGCUCGUCCGCCCUGGGUUAGUCGGGACCUAAGGAGAGACCGAAAGGUGUAUCCGAUGGACAACAGGUUGAUAUUCCUGUACUAGAGUAUGUAGUGAUGGAGGGACGCAGUAGGCUAACUAAAGCAGACGAAUGGAAGUGUCUGUCUAAGCAGUGAGGUGUGAAUUGAGUCAAAUGCUUAAUUCUAUAACAUUGAGCUGUGAUGGGGAGCGAAGUUUAGUAGCGAAGUUAGUGACGUCACACUGCCAAGAAAAGCUUCUAGCGUUAAACAUACUCUACCCGUACCGCAAACCGACACAGGUAGUCGAGGCGAGUAGCCUCAGGUGAGCGAGAGAACUCUCGUUAAGGAACUCGGCAAAAUGACCCCGUAACUUCGGGAGAAGGGGUGCUGACUUUAGGUCAGCCGCAGUGAAUAGGCCCAAGCAACUGUUUAUCAAAAACACAGCUCUCUGCUAAAUCGUAAGAUGAUGUAUAGGGGGUGACGCCUGCCCGGUGCUGGAAGGUUAAGAGGAGUGCUUAGAGGUAACUCGAAGGUAUGAAUUGAAGCCCCAGUAAACGGCGGCCGUAACUAUAACGGUCCUAAGGUAGCGAAAUUCCUUGUCGGGUAAGUUCCGACCCGCACGAAAGGCGUAAUGAUUUGGGCACUGUCUCAACGAGAGACUCGGUGAAAUUUUAGUACCUGUGAAGAUGCAGGUUACCCGCGACAGGACGG
rnacentral:rRNA from 1 species